GACGAACGCUGGCGGCGUGCCUAAUACAUGCAAGUAGAACGCUGAAGAGAGGAGCUUACUCUUCUUGGAUGAGUUGCGAACGGGUGAGUAACGCGUAGGUAACCUGCCUUGUAGCGGGGGAUAGCUAUUGGAAACGAUAGCUAAUACCGCAUAACAAUGGAUGACACAUGUCAUUUAUUUGAAAGGGGCAAUUGCUCCACUACAAGAUGGACCUGCGUUGUAUUAGCUAGUAGGUGAGGUAAUGGCUCACCUAGGCGACGAUACAUAGCCGACCUGAGAGGGUGAUCGGCCACACUGGGACUGAGACACGGCCCAGACUCCUACGGGGGGCAGCAGUAGGGAAUCUUCGGCAAUGGGGGCAACCCUGACCGAGCAACGCCGCGUGAGUGAAGAAGGUUUUCGGAUCGUAAAGCUCUGUUGUAAGUCAAGAACGGGUGUGAGAGUGGAAAGUUCACACUGUGACGGUAGCUUACCAGAAAGGGACGGCUAACUACGUG
rnacentral:rRNA from 1 species